rnacentral:rRNA from 1 species
UACAGAGGGGGCAAGCGUUUAUUCGGAAUUAUUGGGCGUAAAGGGCGCGUAGGCGGCUUGGCAAGUGGAUGGUGAAAUCCCUCGGCUUAACCGAGGAACUGCCGUCCAAACUGCUUCGCUUGAGACCGGGGAGAGGUGAGUGGAAUUCCCAGUGUAGCGGUGAAAUGCGUAGAUAUUGGGAGGAACACCAGUGGCGAAGGCGGCGAUCUGGCCCAACAUUGACACUGAGACUCGAAAGUGCGGGGAUCAAACAGG